GACGAACGCUGGCGGCGUGCUUAACACAUGCAAGUCGAACGGAGUGGCGAACGGGUGAGUAACACGUGGGUGAUCUGCCUUGCACUUCGGGAUAAGCUUGGGAAACUGGGUCUAAUACCGGAUAGUGCAAGAUGAGAUCUCGGGCUAUCAGCUUGUUGGUGGGGUAAUGGCCUACCAAGGCGGGGACGGGUAGCCGGCCUGAGAGGGUGUACGGGGACAUUGGGCCGGAGAUACGGAGCAGACUCCUACUGGAGGCAGCAGUGGAGAAUAUUGCACAAUGGGGGGAAGCGUGAUGCAGAGACGCCGGGUGGGGGAUGAAGGCCUUCGGGUUGUAAACUCCUUUCGACAGGGACGCGGUACCUGUAUAAGAAGCACCGGCUAACUACGUGCCAGCAGCCGCGGUAAUAC
rnacentral:rRNA from 1 species